rnacentral:rRNA from 1 species
UCCCUACGGGGCGCACCAGGCGCGAAAACUUUACAAUGCUGGCAACAGCGAUAAGGGAACCUCGAGUGCCAGGUUACAAAUCUGGCUGUCGAGAUGCCUAAAAAGCAUUUCAUAGCAAGGGCCGGGCAAGACCGGUGCCAGCCGCCGCGGUAAUACA